GACGAACGCUGGCGGCGUGCUUAACACAUGCAAGUCGAACGAUGAACCGGAGUUUGCUCCGGGGAUUAGUGGCGAACGGGUGAGUAACACGUGGGCAACCUGCCCCAGACACCGGGAUAACCUUCCGAAAGGAUGGCUAAUACCGGAUACAACCACUUCGGGCAUCCGACGGUGGUGGAAAGGAUUCUGGUCUGGGAUGGGCCCGCGGCCUAUCAGCUUGUUGGUGGGGUAAUGGCCUACCAAGGCGACGACGGGUAGCCGGCCUGAGAGGGUGUACGGUCACAAUGGGACUGAGAUACGGCCCAUACUCCUACGGGAGGCAGCAGUGGGGAAUAUUGCACAAUGGGCGCAAGCCUGAUGCAGCGACGCCGCGUGAAGGAUGAAGGCUUUCGAGUCGUAAACUUCUGUUAAGUGGGAAGAAAUGCACAUGGUUAAUACCCAUGUGAGCUGACGGUACCACUAGAGAAAGCACCGGCUAACUUCGUGCCAGCAGCCGCGGUAAGGUAGA
rnacentral:rRNA from 1 species